UAGGGAAUAUUGGACAAUGGGCGAAAGCCUGAUCCAGCAACGCCGCGUGCGCGAUGACGGCCUUCGGGUUGUAAAGCGCUUUUGAGGGGAUGAGGAAGGACAGUACCCUCAGAAUAAGCCUCGGCUAACUACGUGCCAGCAGCCGCGGUAAAACGUAGGAGGCGAGCGUUAUCCGGAUUUACUGGGCGUAAAGCGCGUGCAGGCGGCACGGCAAGUUGGAUGUGAAAGCUCCCGGCUUAACUGGGAGAGGUCGUUCAAAACUGCCGAGCUAGAGUGCGGGAGAGGGAGGUGGAAUUCCGGGUGUAGUGGUGAAAUGCGUAGAUAUCCGGAGGAACACCAGUGGCGAAAGCGGCCUCCUGGUCCGCAACUGACGCUCAGACGCGAAAGCUAGGGUAGCAAACGG
rnacentral:rRNA from 1 species